rnacentral:rRNA from 1 species
UACGGAGGGUGCGAGCGUUGUCCGGAAUUACUGGGCGUAAAGCGCACGUAGGCGGCUUUGCAAGUUAGAGGUGAAAGCCCGGGGCUCAACUCCGGAAUUGCCUUUAAAACUGCAUCGCUAGAAUUGUGGAGAGGUAAGUGGAAUUCCGAGUGUAGAGGUGAAAUUCGUAGAUAUUCGGAAGAACACCAGUGGCGAAGGCGACUUACUGGACACAUAUUGACGCUGAGGUGCGAAAGCGUGGGGAGCAAACAGG